rnacentral:rRNA from 1 species
CGUGCGAAGGUAGCGUAAUCACUUGUCUACUAAAUAUGGACUAGUAUGAAUGGCACCACGAGGGUUACACUGUCUCCCAACUUCAAUCAGUUAAACUGAUCUCCCCGUGAAGAAGCGGGGAUUUUAUUAUAAGACGAGAAGACCCCAUGAAACUUUAAACUAAGAAUCAACUGCUAAACCAAACACCCUAAAAAUACAGCAACUAUGACCUCAAAGUUUUCGGUUGGGGCGACCACGGAGUACAACAAAACCUCCACGAUGAAUGAAUAUUAAAUUCUUACCCAAGAGUCACACCACAAA